rnacentral:rRNA from 1 species
AGAGUUUGAUCCUGGCUCAGGAUGAACGCUGGCGGCGUGCCUAAUACAUGCAAGUCGAGCGAACCACUUCGGUGGUGAGCGGCGAACGGGUGAGUAACACGUAGGUGAUCUGCCCAUCAGACGGGGACAACGAUUGGAAACGAUCGCUAAUACCGGAUAGGACGAAAGUUUAAAGGUGCUUCUGGCACCGCUGAUGGAUGAGCCUGCGGCGCAUUAGCUAGUUGGUAGGGUAAAGGCCUACCAAGGCGACGAUGCGUAGCCGACCUGAGAGGGUGAACGGCCACACUGGGACUGAGACACGGCCCAGACUCCUACGGGAGGCAGCAGUAGGGAAUCUUCGGCAAUGGGCGAAAGCCUGACCGAGCAACGCCGCGUGAAUGAUGAAGGCCUUCGGGUUGUAAAAUUCUGUUAUAAGGGAAGAACGACUUUAGUAGGAAAUGGCUAGAGUGUGACGGUACCUUAUGAGAAAGCCACGGCUAACUACGUGCCAGCAGCCGCGGUAAUACGUAGGUGGCGAGCGUUAUCCGGAUUUACUGGGUGUAAAGGGCGCGUAGGCGGGAAUGCAAGUCAGAUGUGAAAUCCAAGGGCUCAACCCUUGAACUGCAUUUGAAACUGUAUUUCUUGAGUGUCGGAGAGGUUGACGGAAUUCCUAGUGUAGCGGUGAAAUGCGUAGAUAUUAGGAGGAACACCAGUGGCGAAGGCGGCUUACUGGACGAUAACUGACGCUGAGGCUCGAAAGCGUGGGGAGCAAACAGGAUUAGAUACCCUGGUAGUCCACGCCGUAAACGAUGUCGACUUGGAGGUUGUGCCCUUGAGGCGUGGCUUCCGGAGCUAACGCGUUAAGUCGACCGCCUGGGGAGUACGGCCGCAAGGUUAAAACUCAAAUGAAUUGACGGGGGCCCGCACAAGCGGUGGAGCAUGUGGUUUAAUUCGAUGCAACGCGAAGAACCUUACCUGGUCUUGACAUCCACGGAAGUUUUCAGAGAUGAGAAUGUGCCUUCGGGAACCGUGAGACAGGUGCUGCAUGGCUGUCGUCAGCUCGUGUUGUGAAAUGUUGGGUUAAGUCCCGCAACGAGCGCAACCCUUAUCCUUUGUUGCCAGCGGUCCGGCCGGGAACUCAAAGGAGACUGCCAGUGAUAAACUGGAGGAAGGUGGGGAUGACGUCAAGUCAUCAUGGCCCUUACGACCAGGGCUACACACGUGCUACAAUGGCGCAUACAAAGAGAAGCGACCUCGCGAGAGCAAGCGGACCUCAUAAAGUGCGUCGUAGUCCGGAUUGGAGUCUGCAACUCGACUCCAUGAAGUCGGAAUCGCUAGUAAUCGUGGAUCAGAAUGCCACGGUGAAUACGUUCCCGGGCCUUGUACACACCGCCCGUCACACCAUGGGAGUGGGUUGCAAAAGAAGUAGGUAGCUUAACCUUCGGGAGGGCGCUUACCACUUUGUGAUUCAUGACUGGGGUGAAGUCGUAACAAGGUAACCGUAGGGGAACCUGCGGUUG